ACGAACGCUGGCGGCAUGCCUAACACAUGCAAGUCGAACGAGACCUUCGGGUCUAGUGGCGCACGGGUGCGUAACGCGUGGGAACCUGCCCUUAGGUUCGGAAUAACAGUUAGAAAUGACUGCUAAUACCGGAUAAUGUCUUCGGACCAAAGAUUUAUCGCCUUUGGAUGGGCCCGCGUUGGAUUAGCUAGUUGGUGGGGUAAAGGCCUACCAAGGCGACGAUCCAUAGCUGGUCUGAGAGGAUGAUCAGCCACACUGGGACUGAGACACGGCCCAGACUCCUACGGGAGGCAGCAGUGGGGAAUAUUGGACAAUGGGCGAAAGCCUGAUCCAGCAAUGCCGCGUGAGUGAUGAAGGCCUUAGGGUUGUAAAGCUCUUUUACUGGGGAUGAUAAUGACAGUACCCAGAGAAUAAGCUCCGGCUAACUCCGU
rnacentral:rRNA from 1 species